rnacentral:lncRNA from 1 species
CAGGAUGAGGAGCUGCCCCCCUGGAGGAUCACGCAGGCCUCUGGGUGGCAUUCAGCAGGGUUGGCUGCGGCACCGGCUGACCACAGGGCCCAACUUUCCAGUCCCAGCCGGAGGGAAGCGUCUCAACCAUGUUGUAGGCACACGGGUGAGGGUGCUGCCUGCCUCCCUGACUCUUACCUCCCCAAGAGAGGAAAACAAAAGAAAAAAAGAUAAGACCAGGAAAUGGAAAUAAGACAAAGAAGAAUGAAAUUUUAAAAUCCGAACAAACCCAAACAUGCUGUUUCAAAACAGAUUCACCAGAGAUGCAGAGGCGGAGGAUACGUUCCUGUUUACAUUGAUACAUAGUUACAUAGGUGAAGAGCUUUACAGCGAGGAAGCGGCUCACGCGGCCAUGAGGGACCCAGGCAGGAGCUGCUGUUGCUGCCCCAGCAACUCCACGAGUGCUCGAUGGGAAACUGCAGACAGCAGCCUUGCCAAGCGGAUGCCCAGGGCCGACCACCGCAGCCCCUCCAGCCACGUUCUCCAUCAGGGCAGCCUCCUGCUGGCUUCGGCACUGCAGGCAGCACACCAGCGAGGGGUGGGGCUGUGUGCCACGAAGCGUCAUCCAUGGACAUGCCACGAAGGGUUAUUCUUCUUUUGACUUUUUCUGAUGGUUUAAAACUGUAAGAACAUGCAGCUCACAGUCCGCACGGAAGCAGGCAUGUGGCUCCUGCCUCACUGUGGGAGGAAAGAUGUUCUCUAAAGAAAUGGCUGGGUUUGCGGAGGGGUUUGUGGAGGGCCGGGCAGUCUGAACACAGCCCAGCUGGCCUUGGUGGAGGUGGGGCUGGCACAGGGGGGUGGGGGCAGUUCUUCCUGACGCAAAUCCUAACGCCUUCAACACUGACCUUCCAAAGAAACAGCUGCUGGACGCUGCCCGACAGCAACGAGAGCCCCGCUCCUAAGGCGCGCGACUCUCGAGGGCUUUGUUGUUUAUUUGGCACCCGAGGCCCAGGCUCACAGGGUCUCGGGUGCAUGGGACCCCCCAGCCCUUCCCACUGCUCUGCGAUUCUUCCUCCCUUCUGGAAAGGCUGUUUGUGGGAGAACGGGAAACAGUCCCAGAGAUGACGCUGCCUCAUGCAGGUUAACAGAGUUGGAGGUCAGGCCGACGCCUGAGGCUCAGGACGCUGAUGGGCGCCUUCCCUCACCAGGGGUGAGCCCCCAGCCCCGUCUUCCCUCGCCGGGGUGAGCCCCUCCCCAGCCCCGAGUUUGGAGGGGCCGUGGCUGCCGGGGACUCGCGUGAGGAGCUUGCUGUAAAUACGGAGCUCUGGAGCAACAAUGGCCUCACGCCGCUGGCAUCUCGGGCAGGACCUGCCUCUUUUUGGAACACUUUCGAGAUCUUUGCGUUUGUUCGUUUCCAG